rnacentral:rRNA from 1 species
AUGCCGACGUGGCCGAACAACAACGAGACGUCGAACGACGAUGACGAGUACAUGAGCGAGUUCAGCAGCAUGCAGAUGGAGUACUUUCAAACUCCUGACACUGUGAUAGACCCUAGUUUCUGUGCGCUUGUGACUGAAUCUGACAGAAGGUGCAUCCUGCACAGGCAGAGGGCGCGCAAGUUUGUGGCAUUUGAAGGCACUGACAUUGGCAGGAGAUUCAUAGGAUGUGCUACUGAGGAUGGUGUAAACUGUGGUGUUCUGGAGUGGGUAGAUGCCCCCUGGCCUGUAAUUCUACAAAGGUGCUUAAGCAAGCUCUAG